CCUUCCUCCUCCCUCACCACUUCCUCUCUCUCCAUCACCACUUCCUCCUUCUCUCCCUCUCACCACUUCCUCCCUGUCCCUCACCACUUUCUCCUCUCUCUGUCCCCACUUCCUGCCCUCUCUUCCCUGUUCUGAGGACACUGAUCCUUACCAGACAUAGAGGGCUGUCCUUGGAUUCAAGCUCCGCCCCUACCUGGAUGUUUCUGGACCCUUCUGAGCUGAGGCUCCCCCAGCUGAAGAAUGGGAAUGACAGUCAUGGCACUUAUGUCACAGAGCAGAAUUGAAUUUGUUCUCAGACCGGAAGUAUAAUAGUGCCUGAUUUCAAUUCAACUGAAGUACCAGCCUCCAGGAUCAUCAAUUUGCUCAGCAUGUUUCUACAGGUCCGGCCUCAGACAGUAAUGACCGUAGGUGGCGGUGCUCGGUGUAACCCCUAUCAAACCAGCUCCCAUACUUCAUUUUGUCAGCUUGACAAUCUGUAAGGCUUCUUGGGUCCUGUUACGGGGUCAGUUGUGUCUCCUCCAAACCAUAUACUGAAACCCUAACCCCCGGUAUCUCAGAAUGCAACCGUAUUUAGAAGCAGGGUCAUUACAAGUUGCAGAUGUAAGUAAGAUGGGCCCAUACUGGAUUAGGAUGAGUCCCUCAAUGAGUAUGACUGCCGUCCUUGUACAAAGAGCAGAAGAGACACGGUCACGCAGUGGGACGAGGCCACAUGAAGCUAUGGGCUGGCGCGAGGCACCUACAAGCCAGACGACGGGGAGGACUGCCUGACGGCCACCAGAAGCUGGGAGAGGCAGAAAGGAUUCCCCUACAGGCGUCAAAGUAGAGCUGUGCCCACACCUUAAUGUUGGACUUCCAUCCUCCAGGACUGUGAGACCAGACAUUUCUGUGGCUUUCAGUCAUCCGGUUUGGGCAUCCAGAGGACGCUGCUGCAGGCUCACAUUGGGCAACUACUUGCCCCCUUGGUCAGAAAGGAGCUAGCCCUCCCACUGCGGCCACUGCUGACAUUUGUAACCCCAAGUGCCUCCUCACCCAUCCCAUCUAUGUGUCACCCCAGCCCCUCCUUUAGAACGUGGCUCAAAUGCCACCACAGAGAGAGACGCUCUUCUCAAUCCUGCAAGAGAACGUGGAGGAGAAACAGAGGAUGAAAUCAGAUGCUGCCGCCGCCCCCCACCCCCACGGCCCUUGUUGCCUAUUUAGCAUAAUUCAAGUGGGCGAAAAGCAGCCUCCAUACUUUUAUCUGUCUUGUGCCAGGGGUGGGGACGGGAAGACAAUAACUUACAGAAUGCUUUCAUCUCAGGUCAGAGGUUGAUUUUCAGGAGGCCAGGUGUUAACAUUAAGUUGGAAUACAAAAAAAGAAUUCCAUUGUUGGGAGAGGUUAUGGAGAGGACACAACCUCUGGUAGACUGAGGGCUGGCCCGAGGCUCUUUUCCCCUCCACCUGCCCCGCCCCCCCAAGCACCUUCAAGGAUACAACCAGUACACUGAACUGGAUCUCUUCAAGGCCUCUCUAUGAACUUUUAGGAUUCUGGAAGGCAGGGGGAGAUGGGUUCUAUGCAGGGGAGGGCAAGCCUCCCAUGUAAGUUGCCUUGUUUAUUGCACCUGGGGCAGACCCUGCAGAAGCAGCUGGUCAGUUUCCUCAGCCUCCCCUUGUCAGGCCGCCCGCAGGGUGUCACUUUCAAGUUUCACCCUUUAGAACUCGCAGAACUCCUGAGGGGGUUUUGAAACAACACAAGUUAAAACCUAAGUGUAUUUGGUCAAGUUCCUGGUGUCUGCUUGAUCAGGGUAGAGCACCCCCUUCCCCCGGUUCAAUUUUGCGUCUUGACAUCUUAAUGGAACCGGAAGGCUCAGCUAGAUGGCCAUUUCCCUCCAAAAGACUUCUCCAAGGGUGAGGCUGUUUCCUGGGUGUGUACAUGUGCCAGGCCUCGGGGACAGCUUCCUAAGCAGGAGAGAUAACGGCGCUUCCAUUCACGGAGCUCACAGUUUUGUGGGACCACACAGGCUAAGGAGACACACAACCACACGAGUUAGGAACCUUGGGAAUGUUCGUUCUGCACGUGACAAUAACCAGGCACAAGCCGCACCUCAGAGAGCAAAAUUAGAAUUGCCUGUGUUUGUGUUCUACAAUGUAUUUGAGAUAAUUAAAAAUUAGCCCGUGAAACCAUCGAGAUCAUCAUAGGAGCAGGAAGGAUUUGGAGGCGGUCUUUUCCCUCCGGGCAAAUGAACUGGACUUUUAUGAGAGUAAAUACGAAAUCUGAAUCCGGCUGCACAUUUUACUAAAACUGCUAACAUCUCAUGGUCACCUCUGCCUAGCUGGCAGGCCUCCGGAAUAGCCACCCCCGGCCGUGUCUUAUUAGCAACCUGCAAGAAAAUAACCAAAAAUAAUCGGCCGUUGAAAUGAUUAUUUAAGCCUCCAAGAAACGCAUCCUGAUGACUGUGCGUGACCGUGUGGUGGCUGCGCUCUCGUCGCUCCUGCCUCUCCAGUCCGGCUCCACUUCUCCGCUGCUGCUUUAAGACUGCAGAGCGCCCCAGCGGCCAGAGGCAGGGGAGGGGGUCCCCGCUCGCCUCCGCGCCGCUCGCUCGCUCGCUCGCUCGCUCCGCGCCCGCCCGCCCGCCUCCCAGGCAGGGAAGGUUAGCGAGGGCUCACUGCGAUUCGGGCCGCGGGAGAGGAAAGAUGAGCCUGCCCGCCCGCCUGCUGCCUGGAUGUGGAGGCUGAGGGCCGGCGCACGGGAGGCCGCUUGCUGCGCAGUCGGGGCGCCGGGUGCCCGGGAUGAGCUCACGCCCGCGUCUGCGGCUCCGUCCACCUGCCGACCUGCCGGCGGCCCCCUGAGCUGACGGCGCACCUGGGCUGCAGCCCCGCCGGCCCGCUCUGGCCGCAGCGUUGGGCGCGGCGCCCGGGAGCAGGUGUGCAGGAGCGCAGCGCGCGGCGAGCGCAGCCCUCGCCCCGGAGCCCGGCCGCGCC